UAUAGCCACCUAGUAAAAGCCUUGGUAAUUCCCGGCAAAACUCGGAAGUUAUCUAGCUAGGUUGCAGGCCAAGGAUUAGUUUCCUACGUUGUUUUAGUCAUGAUACCUGGGAGUGACCUCCAGCUCCCAGCUCUAUCGUCAACUAUUAAGUUGAAGGCAAAAUGUGUGGUUGGCAAAACACAAGCUAUUACAACAUGGCCGAGGAAAACAUUAC
rfam:Lyngbya majuscula 3L genomic scaffold scf52114, whole genome shotgun sequence.